AGGGUUAUAGUUAAUUAUAACAUUUGAAUUGCACUCAAAAAGUACUAAAAUUCUUUAGUUAAUCUUA
rnacentral:tRNA from 1 species